rnacentral:rRNA from 1 species
UACGUAGGGUGCAAUCGUUGUCCGGAAUUAUUGGGCGUAAAGAGCUCGUAGGCGGUCUGUCGCGUCGGCUGUGAAAUCCCGAGGCUCAACCUCGGGUCUGCAGUCGAUACGGGCAAACUAGAGUAUUGCAGGGGAGACUGGAAUUCCUGGUGUAGCGGUGAAAUGCGCAGAUAUCAGGAGGAACACCGGUGGCGAAGGCGGGUCUCUGGGCAAUAACUGACGCUGAGGAGCGAAAGCGUGGGGAGCGAACAGG